rnacentral:lncRNA from 1 species
GCAGCUGGGGGGUGGAUUUGGGACCAAAGUCUGCACCCACAACCCUGAACCUCUGGAUCCUGUGCAAAGGCAAGGUGUGUGGAAUAAACACCUGCUGUGCACCCAGCUGGACUCUACAGCACCUACUGUGUAUUCACACUCCUGCAGGAACCCGUGUUCUUAAAGAUGAAUAAUGCUCCGCCCCCCGUGCCGGGUCUUCUGGGGAUGAGCCACAGCCUGGAGGAGCUGAGGAGGCCACAUCACAUGAGGAAGCUUUACUGUUUCCCCUUCUCCUGAAAUGUGUCUGGGAUGGAGAGUGUGGAGAGUGGGCCCACCUUUAUCUGGGUCCACUCAGGCUGCUGCAGAGACUACCCCAGACUGGGUGGCUGAUAGACAAGACAUUCAUUUUCCACACUUCCUGAGACUGAGAAGUCUGAGUUGAAGAAACCUGGAAGCAAGGAAGCCGCCACCAUGAUGCAGCGGGGAGUCCGAGGCCCUGGGAGGUCAUAUGACUCAUUCACGGUCAUCCUGCUGUGGCAGAGAUGCGAUGAAGCCCUGGCUUUG